UACGUAGGGUGCAAGCGUUUAAUCGGAAUUACUGGGCGUAAAGCGUGCGCAGGCGGUUUUGUAAGUUUGUCGUGAAAGCCCCGGGCUCAACCUGGGAAUUGCGAUGAAGACUGCAAGGCUUGAAUCUGGCAGAGGGGGGUAGAAUUCCACGUGUAGCAGUGAAAUGCGUAGAGAUGUGGAGGAACACCGAUGGCGAAGGCAGCCCCCUGGGUCAAGAUUGACGCUCAUGCAUGAAAGCGUGGGGAGCAAACAGG
rnacentral:rRNA from 1 species